rnacentral:rRNA from 1 species
GACGAACGCUGGCGGCAUGCCUAAUACAUGCAAGUCGAGCGAACAGAUGAAGUGCUUGCACUUCUGACGUUAGCGGCGAACGGGUGAGUAACACGUAAGGAAUCUACCUAUAAGCGGGGGAUAACAUUCGGAAACGGGUGCUAAUACCGCAUAAUAUCUUCUUCCGCAUGGAAGAAGAUUGAAAGACGGCUCUGCUGUCACUUAUAGAUGACCUUGCGGUGCAUUAGUUAGUUGGUGGGGUAAUGGCCUACCAAGACAAUGAUGCAUAGCCGACCUGAGAGGGUGAUCGGCCACAUUGGGACUGAGACACGGCCCAAACUCCUACGGGAGGCAGCAGUAGGGAAUCUUCCGCAAUGGGCGAAAGCCUGACGGAGCAAUGCCGCGUGAGUGAAGAAGGCCUUCGGGUCGUAAAACUCUGUUAUAAGAGAAGAACAAAUUGUAGAGUGACUGCUACAGUCUUGACGGUAUCUUAUCAGAAAGCCACGGCUAACUACGUGCCAGCAGCCGCCGUAA